rnacentral:rRNA from 1 species
UACAGGGGGUGCAAACGUUGCUCGGAAUUAUUGGGCGUAAAGCGCGCGUAGGCGGCCACUUAAGUCGGAUGUGAAAGCCCCUGGCUCAACUGGGGAAGUGCACCCGAAACUGAAUGGCUUGAAUGCAAAAGAGGGUCGCGGAAUUCCCGGUGUAGAGGUGAAAUUCGUAGAUAUCGGGAGGAACACCGGUGGCGAAGGCGGCGACCUGGGUUGACAUUGACGCUGAGGCGCGAAAGCCAGGGGAGCAAACGGG